AGAAACUUAGGUUACAACUAAACUUAGGGCCUUCAAACCCCUAAACAGGGGUAAGCCCCCUAGUUUCUG
rnacentral:tRNA from 1 species